CCCGAUGACGUCAUUAUUUUUUUAUAAGAAAAUAAAAUCUAAAUCUAACGGUUGAGAUAGUUCUGAGAUUAUAAUCUAAAGGAUAUACUUUUGUCUAGGAUAAUGGGUAUGACGUCAUGCUUUAGCAAUCGACGCAUUCAUCGUAUCUUUUCAAAGGCGUCUCCUGCAUAAAUUAUUUCCCUUUAAGAGUUGUAUUCUUUCACAAGCAGCGUUUCAGUGGUUCUCUUAAGAGUUGUAUCUUAUCAUAUAAGGUUAUAUAUCAAAGAGAUUGUAUAGGUUUUCAUAACUGUUUUAAGUUUUCUCUGAUUCUCCCUUCUGCCUCUUAUUUCUCUUAGAUUCCGCUGCAAAUAAUUUUCCCUCUUGCCCAUUCUCCUUUUCCUAAGAGUUUCAGACUCCAUUAAAGUAUUAUUAUUUCUCUGCAAUUUUCCAAUUAUUAAAUUUGGAAACUGAGGGGUUAACAAGCUUUUCAAUAUCUGUUCGGAGGAUGGGAAGGCAGCUUUCACGGCAGUCACUGUUUCUCUCCUUUUCCGUUCGGCGUGGACGGAGCCGAAGUCUAUACCUUCAACGUUUAUGCACCUUACUCUCGAUGUGAGUGAUCGGGUUAUGGCUGAGAAGGUCUCGUACUUGUUCAGAAGCCCAGAGGUUUCAGAUAUAGUCGUCUUCAAGGCUCCUCCGGUUUUUGUAGGACAUGGUUACAGUUGUAUGUUUUCAUCAAAAGGAUAGUUGCAAACGGAGGUGACUGGGUUGAAAGUAUGUGAUGGAAAGCUCUUGGUGAAUGACACGUUCAAGUAGAGGAUUUUGUCUUCAUUUGGUAUCUUACUGUAAACUUAACUAUUGAUGUUUAACUUUCAUUAUGUAUCUUCAUUGUUUCGUAUUUGUUUUCCUAAUUCUGUUUCAUUAGUACUUCUUUCGUGACGUCUUGCCAGAAGUACCGAUAUGAGAAUCAUGAAUAACGUAAUAUCUUCUCCCUCUGUAAAACUAUGACUACUAAAAUUAUGAAGAAACCAACGAAGUGUACAUUACUAUGUUCAUGAUGUUACUUAUAUAUCAGCGAUGCUUGAAACUUGUCAUGAAAGGUGAAUUUCAAUUAGGAUGCAGGGAGGGCAAGCGGAGUGAGCAUUCUGGCCAAAAGGAAGAAUAAAGUUUCCAUUAAUAUAUACACUGUUUUCUCUGGUUUCCAGGCUAAAAAUUAUAAAGUUUUCAUUUUUUUGGUUGUAUUACUUUUAAGAAUUAAGGCUAUUUGUGGUUAAAUUGUAUGAAUUGGUACUUAUAUGGAUAACUUUUAGUAAUAAUAAAGAAAAUUUGCUCU